UGGGGAAUAUUGGACAAUGGAGGAAACUCUGAUCCAGCAAUUCUGUGUGUGUGAAGAAGGUUUUAGGACUGUAAAACACUUUUAGUAGGGAAGAAAAAAAUGACGGUACCUACAGAAGAAGCAACGGCUAAAUACGUGCCAGCAGCCGCGGUAAUACGUAUGUUGCGAGCGUUAUCCGGAAUUAUUGGGCUUAAAGGGCAUCUAGGCGGUAAGACAAGUUGAAGGUGAAAACCUGUGGCUCAACCAUAGGCUUGCCUACAAAACUGUUGAACUAGAGUACUGGAAAGGUGGGUGGAACUACACGAGCGGAGGUGAAAUUCGUAGAUAUGUGUAGGAAUGCCGAUGAGGAAGAUAACUCACUGGACAGAAACUGACGCUGAAGUGCGAAAGCUAGGGGAGCAAACAGG
rnacentral:rRNA from 1 species